rnacentral:rRNA from 1 species
CUACGGGACGCACCAGUGGGGAAUAUUGCACAAUGGGCGCAAGCCUGAUGCAGCCAUGCCGCGUGUAUGAAGAAGGCCUUCGGGUUGUAAAGUACUUUCAGCGGGGAGGAAGGGAGUAAAGUUAAUACCUUUGCUCAUUGACGUUACCCGCAGAAGAAGCACCGGCUAACUCCGUGCCAGCAGCCGCGGUAAUACGGAGGGUGCAAGUGUUAAUCGGAAUUACUGGGCGUAAAGCGCACGCAGGCGGUUUGUUAAGUCAGAUGUGAAAUCCCCGGGCUCAACCUGGGAACUGCAUCUGAUACUGGCAAGCUUGAGUCUCGUAGAGGGGGGUAGAAUUCCAGGUGUAGCGGUGAAAUGCGUAGAGAUCUGGAGGAAUACCGGUGGCGAAGGCGGCCCCCUGGACGAAGACUGACGCUCAGGUGCGAAAGCGUGGGGAGCAAACAGGAUUAGAUACCCCUGUAGUC